CGUCGUGAAGAGGGAAACAACCCAGACCGCCAGCUAAGGUCCCAAAGUCAUGGUUAAGUGGGAAACGAUGUGGGAAGGCCCAGACAGCCAGGAUGUUGGCUUAGAAGCAGCCAUCAUUUAAAGAAAGCGUAAUAGCUCACUGGUCGAGUCGGCCUGCGCGGAAGAUGUAACGGGGCUAAACCAUGCACCGAAGCUGCGGCAGCGACGCUUAUGCGUUGUUGGGUAGGGGAGCGUUCUGUAAGCCUGUGAAGGUGUGCUGUGAGGUAUGCUGGAGGUAUCAGAAGUGCGAAUGCUGACAUAAGUAACGAUAAAGCGGGUGAAAAGCCCGCUCGCCGGAAGACCAAGGGUUCCUGUCCAACGUUAAUCGGGGCAGGGUGAGUCGACCCCUAAGGCGAGGCCGAAAGGCGUAGUCGAUGGGAAACAGGUUAAUAUUCCUGUACUUGGUGUUACUGCGAAGGGGGGACGGAGAAGGCUAUGUUGGCCGGGCGACGGUUGUCCCGGUUUAAGCGUGUAGGCUGGUUUUCCAGGCAAAUCCGGAAAAUCAAGGCCGAGGCGUGAUGACGAGGCACUACGGUGCUGAAGCAACAAAUGCCCUGCUUCCAGGAAAAGCCUCUAAGCAUCAGGUAA
rnacentral:rRNA from 1 species